GAUGAAGAACGUAGCGAAAUGCGAUACUUGGUGUGAAUUGCAGAAUCCCGUGAACCAUCGAGUCUUUGAACGCAAGUUGCGCCCGAAGCCAUUAGGCCGAGGGCACGCCUGCCUGGGCGUCACACGUCGUUGCCCCCCCAUCUACUCCUUCGGGAUUGCGGGGGGCGGAUGAUGGCCUCCCGUGCGCCUCGCCGCGCGGUUGGCAUAAAUGCUAAGUCCUCGGCGACGCACGCCACGACAAUCGGUGGUUGCGAAACCUCGGUUGCCCGUCGUGUGCGGUCGUCGCGCAUCGAGGGCUAGAAAAAAUUGCCGGGUUCCGGCUCGGCUUUCAACGCGACCCCAGGUCAGGCGGGGUUACCCGCUGAAUUUAAGCAUAUCAAUAAGCGGAGGA
rnacentral:misc_RNA from 1 species